CGUCUAUCUAAUUUUGGUUCUCUUGAUGAAAAUUGAUUGCAGACAUGGAUUGAUCACCCUCCCCAACACUAGUUAAAGAGUUCUGAAAUUUAGGAGCCUUGAAGUUGAAUUGCUCUGUUGUCCGAGUUUGUAGCCGAGAGGAAAAAGUCAUGGACACGCUAGUGUUCUGGACAGUUGUUGAUGUCAUUGGAAUCUCUCUAACCAUACCUUCUUUACA